CGCUUUGCGCAGCGGGGCGGUUAUCAUCAGGUUCCCGUGGUUCGAUAUUCGGUCGAGCUUUCUUUUCGUCAACCUCAUCGUGACGAUCGUGGUGCUCGGUGGACUGUUGGCAACGAUCGAAAAGCAUCUGCCCACUGCCAUCCGGCAGACGUUCCGGUAGGACAAGCAUGCACUGAAGGGAUCAUCGGACCGUUUGGUGUCCCUGUUGGAGAUCCUGAAGGUGUGGUUCAUACAUUUCUACGUCUUUGCUGCCCUCUGGUCGGUGGCCGGAUUUGCCGUCAUGAUGUAGCCAGCGCGGGACUACGUAAUCGCCUUCCUCGAUACGUUGGCAACCAACAAUCGUAUGGUGCGCACCACGCCUACCGAGACGAUGGUUGCCAUGACGCUGAUCACGCUGCAGUGUUUGCGCCGGUUCUACGAGACCUGGUUCGUGCAGGUGUUCUCGAGCAAGCUGAAAAUCACCUACCAGUGGAUCGAAAAAAUGGUAAGGUUUUUGUCCAGCUUUUUUAGGUCGCUGGUUUCCGGCUGAUGGGAUUCAGCUGGUUUUCCUGGAUCGUCUUUGAAUGCCUUGUUACACGGACCGGUCGUCGAUGAACUCGAGAUGCACCGCAUUGACAAGCGGCAGUAGCAGGAUGCAAUCGACGUGGCCGAGCUGGCAGCGAAGCCGUUUCUCGGUGAGCCAUUUACGCCGAAUGAGGGUGGCCAAGAGCUGGCUGCAUACGUUCGAUUCGUUCGAUAUUCGUUACGCACACGAUCAAACUGUGUAGCGAUACCGAGUGUGUCCGGCCAUCGAGACUAGAAGCAUAGCGGAAGCUACGUUGCGUCGUCUAUUGUGACACCUUUUCAUCAACAACUGGCAUGACUAUCGGCUCACGGUCGGUGGCUCUAGCGCAGGGGAAGGUGCGUUCCAAUCGGCUGGCAGGACACAGAUCGGAUUGGUUAGGACAGCGAUCGGCAUAGUACGGCUCGCGACCCGCAUGUGGCUAUUUGUUGACUAGGUGGAGGCUCUUUAUCGUUCACACAUUUUAAAUAAUUUUCAUGCAUGUUCUCUUUUGGUUGAUCUGGUUGCCUCUUCAAGUGCAAAUCUACGAACAUGUUUAGAAGAUUUUGCUCUUUCGGUCGCAACGUGUGCCGAGUCGCUGGGGAUAUUGGAUUGUAAGGAAUGAUUAUACUGUCCGCAGGAACCAGAUGAUGACAUCACCAAGGAGCUAAUACGCUAAAGCUUAUCAGGAGGAGGCGAGGCACGUAUCAUCCAUACCACACCAAAUCAUAAUGGCGCAGCCGUGAAUAUUUACAACGUCAUCCUGCUCGGGUUGGAUAGUGACGGUCUCCCGCUCGGUAUAUCUUGACGGCAGUAUAACGCAAGGCAAGUAUACAUAUAGUUUCAGCACGCUUAAUAAGUAUAAAGAAUGCUAAUAUCUUUGUUUCUUGUUGUGUUUUGCACUUUUACUUUUAU